rnacentral:lncRNA from 1 species
GUGUUCCUUUAACAUCUACUGGCUUUGCCCUUCAGUCCUAAGAGUAGAACCUAGGACCUCAGGUGUAGCAGCAGAUACAGAAGACCAGCUGAGAUAUCUAGCCUUGUGGGACAGAGCAACUACUGGGUUCCCGGACUUCCCAGUCACAGCUGCCCAUUACUGGAUUAGCUGGACCACAGCCUGUAAGUUAUUCUAAUAAAUUCCAUAUAUGUAUAUAUAUAUUCAUUCUAUAAGUUCUGUGACUCUACUGAACCCUGAGUAAAACAGAAUAUUACUUACCAUUUGCAGUAUGUAGCAAUUUGAUGUGCCGUUUUGUACAUCUGCUGUUGAGAUUUUUCAGAACUACUGCAGCGUAUUUCACAAGUCUCAGUUGCUGUGAUCUGUAUUUGUAAACUAUGGGCUUUCAGUCCAGAGUGCUCAUAUAUAGUGUGUCUGAAGACUUUCUAAAUGAAUCAUGUAUUUGAUUCAGUAGAUAGUACUAGUCUCAUCUUUAUCUUACAAACCCAAAAAUGGGGGGCUUUGAACAUUGUUCAAGAUCCAAUUCUAGUAAGCAGGAGAGACAGAAGAGUUUGAAUUCAAGCCAUCUACUCUAGGUAAUGAUCACCUUGGGGGCUAUCCUGAUUGAUUGAUUGAUUGAUUGAUUGAUUGACUUAGGUUUUUGAAGACAGGGUUUGUCACUGUAUAUCCCUGGCUGUCCUGGAACUCAUUGAUUAGCUCUGUCUGAUGUAAUGUCCUUUCAAUUAUCAACUAAAACCUUGGGAAUGCAGCUACCUAGCAAGAAAACAGCUUUCCCCCACCAGAGAGCUA